GGCCUAACACAUGCAAGUCGAACGCACCCUUCGGGGUGAGUGGCAGACGGGUGAGUAACGCGUGGGAACGUGCCCUUUGGUUCGGAAUAACCCAGGGAAACUUGGGCUAAUACCGGAUAAGCCCGUGGCUUUGGCCAUGGNGGAAAGAUUUAUUGCCGAAGGAUCGGCCCGCGUCUGAUUAGCUAGUUGGUGGGGUAACGGCCCACCAAGGCGACGAUCAGUAGCUGGUCUGAGAGGAUGAUCAGCCACACUGGGACUGAGACACGGCCCAGACUCCUACGGGAGGCAGCAGUGGGGAAUAUUGGACAAUGGGGGCAACCCUGAUCCAGCCAUGCCGCGUGAGUGACUUGAAGGCCUUAGGGUCGUAAAGCUCUUUCGGCGGGGAAGAUAAUGACGGUACCCGCAGAAGAAGCCCCGGCUAACUUCGUGCCAGCAGCCGCGGUAAU
rnacentral:rRNA from 1 species